AUUGAACGCUGGCGGCAGGCCUAACACAUGCAAGUCGAGCGAGCGGCGGACGGGUGUGUAAUGUCUGGGAAACUGCCUGAUGGGGGGGGGUAACUACUGGAAACGGUGGCUCAUACAGCAUACCAUCAGAUGUGCCCAGAUGGGAUUAGCUGGUAGGUGGGGUAAUGGCUCACCUAGGCGACGAUCCCUAGCUGGUCUGAGAGGAGGACCAGCCACACUGGAACUGAGACACGGUCCAGACUCCUACGGGAGGCAGCAGUGGGGAAUAUUGCACAAUGGGCGCAAGCCUGAUGCAGCCAUGCCGCGUGUGUGAAGAAGGCCUUCGGGUUGUAAAGCACUUUCAGCGGGGAGGCGUUACCCGCAGAAGAAGCACCGGCUAACUCCGUGCCAGCAGCCGCGGUAAUUC
rnacentral:rRNA from 1 species